AGUGAACGCUGGCGGCGUGCUUAACACAUGCAAGUCGAACGGAUCAAAGUAGCUUGCUACUUUGGUUAGUGGCGCACGGGUGAGUAAUGUAUAGCUAACCUGCCCUUUAGUGGGUGACAACAGUUGGAAACGACUGCUAAUACCCCAUACUCCUUCUUAUCAUAAGGUGAGUUGGGAAAGAUUUAUUGCUAAAGGAUGGGGCUUUAUUGUAUCAGCUAGUUGGUGGGGUAACGGCCUACCAAGGCGAUGACGCAUACCUGGUCUGAGAGGAUGAUCAGGCACACUGGAACUGAGACACGGUCCAGACUCCUACGGGAGGCAGCAGUGGGGAAUAUUGCACAAUGGAGGAAACUCUGAUGCAGCAACGCCGCGUGGAGGAUGACGCAUUUUCGGUGUGUAAACUCCUUUUAUAAGGGAAGAUAAUGACGGUACCUUAUGAAUAAGCACCGGCUAACUCCGUGCCAGCAGCCGCGGUAAUAUAGCGUACUU
rnacentral:rRNA from 1 species